AUUGAACGCUGGCGGCAUGCUUUACACAUGCAAGUCGAACGGCAGCGCGGGCUUCGGCCUGGCGGCGAGUGGCGAACGGGUGAGUAAUGCAUCGGAACGUGCCCAGUAGUGGGGGAUAGCCCGGCGAAAGCCGGAUUAAUACCGCAUACGACCUGAGGGUGAAAGCGGGGGACCGAAAGGCCUCGCGCUAUUGGAGCGGCCGAUGUCGGAUUAGCUAGUUGGUGGGGUAAAGGCUUACCAAAGCGACGAUCCGUAGCUGGUCUGAGAGGACGACCAGCCACACUGGGACUGAGACACGGCCCAGACUCCUACGGGAGGCAGCAGUGGGGAAUGUUGGACAAUGGGGGCAACCCUGAUCCAGCCAUGCCGCGUGCGGGAAGAAGGCCUUCGGGUUGUAAACCGCUUUUGUUCGGGAAGAAAUCCUCUGGGCUAAUACCCCGGGGGGAUGACGGUACCGGAAGAAUAAGCACCGGCUAACUACGUG
rnacentral:rRNA from 1 species